UUUCGCCAGGGCUGAAUGAAAUUUCGGGUUCAGUCAGUGAUGGAUCCCCCAUUAAUUAAUGGCUGGUAAUUUCACUCACCAAAAGAUAAGUUGAAAAAUUGUAUUUACAAUUCCAAAUUAAUAACUCUGACAUGAAUUUAAAGUGAUUAUAUCAUUAAUUAGGAAGUAAAAAUCGAUCCAAUUUAGACACUCAUAAAAUACGAUUCUUCGAGCAUGAUGUACCUUAAACAUUGUAUAAUUGAAAAGAAUUUUAUUGAAGAAUGAAAAAUGUGGGAAUAAUAACAUUAGAAAUAAUAUUCCCGUUAUAUUUAUUCGUGCUUCAGUUAACUUUUGAUUCACUUGAAAAAUCAGGACACGCGCAUAUAUUUAACGAGGUUUCCCUGCUCGCAGGCGAUCUGUUCCGUGUCCUAUCGAGAGGGAGCGGGGCGCGCACGCGAGGAAAAAUCAGUUGGUAUACGUAUUCUACAAAACGCGUUGAAUAAUAACUGCAUUCCACAUGGUCGAACGAGUAAGGGAUAAGUUGCAGUAUAUCCAGACGCGUUCGUACGUAUAUACCGUGGUACGAUUUGUGCCGAGUUCGCUAUUGCUCGUUUGAAAUUACGAGUUAGUCCACGUUGAGACGUAUAACAUAAAAUCUCGAUAUAUUUUCCAUCUGGUUGCGCUCGUAAACUUAACUCAAUGAAAAACCAAAAAAAAAAAAAAAAAACAACGAAAAAGAAAACGAUUUUCUGUUUUUUGAUCGUCAUAAGCGCAAUUUUUUUCUAACUUCGUGUGACAUUUGCCACUCUAAUCGAUCAAUCUAACUUUCUCCCCAAUAAUUUUCAUCAUCGAGAAGCAAAAUGUCAUUUCACCCCAUAAAACAGGCUUUUAAACAAUCGUCUCCGUAAAAUCAAUAUUCCAGAAUCCACCGAUCGAUUGUUAUUAAAGAUAGUAAAAUUCGCGAAUAUCACCAGUCCAACGAACGCCGUGCUUCCAUAUCCAUUCGAUCACGCCCUCGCAAAUAUGGUUCGAUGGAAUUUAUGUGAGGAAUUGAUAAGGAAAAAACGGUAAACCCCUUCAUGGUUUUUCCACUCCGCUGAACCCCGAAUUUUCACGAGUCGAAUAAAACUGAGCCGACAAUGAUUAGGAUGAUUUCCUUCCAAGAGGAUGGAAUUUUGAGAUGAGCAGAUGCAACUUCAACGAUUAUCAUUUCGGAGAAGAUAGGUCAGAUGAUGCAUCUCCAGAGAUUUCGAGGCUGGUCACCAGACAUAUUCGCAGCAAGGGGAGCAAGAUCUUCAAUCGUUUCGGUGAAGCGGGCCGAGCAUCUGGUUUUGUAUUUACACAGAAGUCUGUUUUUCAACAAUACCUACGAAAUGGUUUUUCUUCAUCAAAGAGUUAUUCCAGGGCCCUCGGAAUUUCCGGUUGGGAUUGGAGACGAAGAUACCAAGACGCAAGAGAGAUAUCGGUGGUCUCCUCGCGAACGAGGCAUUCGAACGCUGAGAGAAUCGUCUGUAAAGUGCAACCAGAGCAAGGGAGUCUCUGUAGAGUGUCACAAGUUUGUUGAGAAACUCUAGGGGAAGGCGCUUCAAAUCCACAGCUGAAAAGGAUUCGGGUUCGGUUUUAACCCCUCGGAGAGUCCUAGAAGAUAUCGUCCGGCGCGGUCUUCUCCUCAGCUUCCGUGUCUUUCUCUGUCUUUCUUUUUUCAUUCUGUUAUUCCUUCACUCUUACUUAUCGAACCCUUAUCCAGAAAGAGAAUUCUCCGUGGCAGUAUAUAACAUUCAAUCCUGGCCACUUCGCACUUUUUCUAUCCUUCGUUUAUCUUUACUUUACCCCUUCUAUUUUAUUUUCAUCCAUAAUUUUCAAGCCACAUUUCAAAGAACGAGGACCCGAACCCCCAGCGAUUGUCAAACUUUGCCAAUACGACGAUCGAGCCCAGGAGAAGAGUCUCCGACUACUCACUGUCAGAAAAUCCAAAGUUUUCCCCAGUUUAUUUGUUUAUUUAUCAGUGUGACGAGUAAAGCGACGAGUCGAGUUCAGUGUUGAAGUCUGUUGAUGUUAAAGAUGGAAAAGUCUGAGCCAGAAAUAUGAAGAAUGAGUUAAAAAAUGGUUAAAAUGGGAGGUUAGUCA